rnacentral:lncRNA from 1 species
GAUUAUAGAUCAAAGUGAUAAGUCCCCAAAAACAUAAACCUACCGUACAAUCAAGAAAUUGAAAAAAAAAAUUUCCACAUAUUUCUUCCUAUCAAUUUCAAAAUUCAGAGUCAAAAUGUAGUCUGUCAGAUAAUAACUACGAAAUUUCCUGUUGUUCCUUCUUAAAUUUUGCCAAAAAAAUCAGAAAUCUACAUCUCUAUACCACCUUAGAAAUUUAUUUAUUUAUUAUUUUGGUGUUAAUUUCGUCUCCUCUUUCAAUUUCAUUCUACCAUCAGUACAGGGAGCGCAUAUUUCCAGGUAACAUGCUCAUUUUACUUUGAAGCUUUUUAUUAUGGAAUUUUCUGAAUUUUGAUUCCAAAGUAGCAGUAAAUAAUUCUUGAUUUGAGAUUUUUGUUUGCUUUUUCGUUAAAUGUUUAUGAUUUAAGUAAUUUCUAUUUAAAAUUAUUCAGUAGCUCAAUAAGUAGUUAUCUUCUAAUUCUUAAUCGUUAGCCAUUUUCAUUUUGUUGUUUUGUACAUCAUGUCAAUUCUAGUUUGACAUUUUCAAAUAGAAUAUUUUUGCCUAAGUUUACAACGUGUUUAUAAGAACUAAAAUUAAUGUUUAGAUGUUACCUUUAAAUUUUUGUUUGCUAAAUAUGUAUUAGAAAGUGCAAAUGUUCGCAUUUCCUUGUUAAUUUCAUGUCAAUUUCAAUUUCAACUUUUCAUUUCCAGGGUUUCAAUUUAUAUUGUUAAUAUUCAAAGGAUUGGUACUGAAAUCGGUAGUACAUUUAGGGUGGUGUCCUUGGUGUUGCGGUUUGCUUCUGGUGGUGGCUUGAAUUUUUUGACGAUUUUGCAUUGUCAGCUAUUAUUUUGUCAUAUUAUGAGUGAAAUAGUGUAAUUUGGCUUUUUGUAACAAUAAUUUGUUAUGAAGAGAAGGGAACUCAGCUGACUUGGGGAGAAAAGAAGAAGAGGAAUCCCAGAAACAGAGAAAAAUGAAGCAGCCAACGGUCAUCUACAAAUUUGAAGUCCGAAGGAAAUGGCAUCAUUUGUUGUUGUCAACUCCUAUUUUACGUUUUAUUGAGUUGUAUUAGGAAAGCAGGCUUUUGGCGGUUUAAGAAAGUAGACGAGAAGAGGCAGAAGGGUGUGAACGAUUUGUGCGUGGUUUCCAUAUUUCUUCUCUGACCUCAGUUUCUUUUUCUUCUUCUUCAAAAUCUACCUUUUUAAUUUUUGUUAAAUUCUCACUGUGAUAGACACUUUGUCUCAAAAUUAAUCAUUGGGUGUUGAGUUUUGUUUAAUUUCUGAUUUAUCACUGUGUUUGAUUGUGUCCCAGGUUGAGAAUUGAAGCUCAACUAUAACAUUUGGCAUCAAAGUAGCAACGUGACUUGGGUAUGGCUGAAACUAGGAGUAAAUCUAAUGAGGAACACCUUAAGAAGCUAGACAAGGAAAUAUCAGACUUGGGUAUUGAUGCGAACAUCCAUUUACUAUUUAUUUUCUAUUUGGACUAUUAGUUAUAUUCUAUUUGGAUUAUUAUUUAUAUUUCUAUUAUUGAGCUUGUUUAGCAGGUUUGACCCAAGCCCUUCUCAUUAGGGUUUUUGUUUUGUUAUUUAUUUCUGUUUUGUUGCGUAUUUGAGACAGUUGAUGAGUUGAUGAAUUAAAAAAUAGAAUGCUUGGGUUGUUGCCUAUGGCUUCCUCCUUCUCCCUUUUCCCUUGAUUUCUACUUCUUCUCUGGUUUUCUCCCCUCUUUCUCUCCGGCCCUUUCCCCCUUCUUGCUGUCUUCUUCUUCUUCUAGCUGGAAUUCUACUUGCUAGUUGUGCUAUUUUGCUAUUUCUAAUUAUUCUGUAGGAAUCAUCCCUCAUCCUGCAUCAAAGUGGUAUCAGAGCUAAAACUUGGGUAAUUUUUCAUCCAGAAUCCAAAACUUUCUUCCUAUCCUCUUCCCAAAAACUUGUGGAACAGCACAAAUAAAAAAAAUUGUUAUGAGGCAGUAGUUUUCUUGUUCAAUUUUCUUUCUAGUUGAUUAGGCAAAAAAAAAA